GCUUUCAAAGGAUAACAGCCAUCCGUUGGUCUUAGGAACCAAAAACUCUUGGUGCAAGCCCAAGUGAAAGCU
rnacentral:tRNA from 1 species